rnacentral:rRNA from 1 species
UGGGGAAUUUUGGACAAUGGGCGAAAGCCUGAUCCAGCAAUGCCGCGUGUGUGAAGAAGGCCUUCGGGUUGUAAAGCACUUUUGUCCGGAAAGAAAUCCUUGGCUCUAAUACAGUCGGGGGAUGACGGUACCGGAAGAAUAAGCACCGGCUAACUACGUGCCAGCAGCCGCGGUAAUACGUAGGGUGCAAGCGUUAAUCGGAAUUACUGGGCGUAAAGCGUGCGCAGGCGGUUUGCUAAGACCGAUGUGAAAUCCCCGGGCUCAACCUGGGAACUGCAUUGGUGACUGGCAGGCUAGAGUAUGGCAGAGGGAGGUAGAAUUCCACGUGUAGCAGUGAAAUGCGUAGAGAUGUGGAGGAAUACCGAUGGCGAAGGCAGCCCCCUGGGCCAAUACUGACGCUCAUGCACGAAAGCGUGGGGAGCAAACAGGAUUAGAUACCCUGGUAGUCCACGCCCUAAACGAUGUCAACUAGUUGUUGGGGACUUCAUUUCCUUAGUAACGUAGCUAACGCGUGAAGUUGACCGCCUGGGGAGUACGGUCGCAAGAUUAAAACAUAAAGGAAUUGACGGGGU